rnacentral:RNase_P_RNA from 1 species
GAAAUCAAUCGGGCAAUCGCGGUUAUUGGCUUUAAUCGAGGAAAGUCCGGACACCAGAUGGAUAGAAGUGCUGGGUAACACCCAGGGGUCGCUUUGGCGGCUACGGAAAGUGGCGCAGAAAAUAUACCGCCAGCAAUGGUAAGGGUGAAAAGGUGCGGUAAGAGCGCACCGCGCAACUAGUGAUAGUUGUGGCAGGCAAAACCCCACUUGGUGCAAGACCAAAUAGGCGCAAUUCGUAUUUAUCCUCUACACAUAGUUGCGCGGGUAGGUUGCUAGAGCCUCUUGGUAACAAUUGGCCCAGAUGAAUGAUUGCCUCAGGCUUAUAGCUUAAGACAGGAUCCGGCUUACAGAUUGAUUUCCUCU